GCAGUGGGGAAUUUUGGACAAUGGGCGAAAGCCUGAUCCAGCAAUGCCGCGUGCAGGAUGAAGGCCUUCGGGUUGUAAACUGCUUUUGUACGGAACGAAAAAGCUUCUCCUAAUACGAGAGGCCCAUGACGGUACCGUAAGAAUAAGCACCGGCUAACUACGUGCCAGCAGCCGCGGUAAUACGUAGGGUGCGAGCGUUAAUCGGAAUUACUGGGCGUAAAGCGUGCGCAGGCGGUUAUGUAAGACAGAUGUGAAAUCCCCGGGCUCAACCUGGGAACUGCAUUUGUGACUGCAUGGCUAGAGUACGGUAGAGGGGGAUGGAAUUCCGCGUGUAGCAGUGAAAUGCGUAGAUAUGCGGAGGAACACCGAUGGCGAAGGCAAUCCCCUGGACCUGUACUGACGCUCAUGCACGAAAGCGUGGGGAGCAAACAGGAUUAGAUACCCUGGUAGU
rnacentral:rRNA from 1 species